rnacentral:rRNA from 1 species
CGGGACGGGUGAGUAACGCGUGGGUAACCGUGCCUCACACAGGGGGAUAGCAGUUGGAAACGACUGGUAAUACCGCAUAAGCGCACAGCUUCGCAUGAAGCGGUGUGAAAAACUCCGGUGGUGUGAGAUGGACCCGCGUUGGAUUAGCUAGUUGGUGAGGUAACGGCCCACCAAGGCGACGAUCCAUAGCCGACCUGAGAGGGUGACCGGCCACAUUGGGACUGAGACACGGCCCAA